ensembl:lncRNA
CUUUGGGAAAUUAGUGAUGUUUGAUGUUUGCCAGUGGGUGUCCUUAUCCACAGUCAGUUUUGGGGAGCUUUGGUUUUGUGUGUGCAUGUCUUUAUGAGAUGGAAGCUGUACCAAGUUCAAGAGCUGGAAUGCCCCCAUCAAAUGUCAACAACCUGUUUGGAGCACCCAUCUAUAAGAUACUCUGGAUUUUGAUCCCUAGGGCAGGUGUGAUGGUUGUGAUGUAGGCCAGUACUCUGCAGACAGAUGGCAUAAACAGGAGCACCUGGCAAAGACUUCACCAGAAAGUUUACGUUUAAACAUGUACCGAAGGCUGAGCGGAAGUUUACUGUGCAGAGCAAGGGAUCUUGAGUUCUGGGGAAUCAAGCUUCAUGGGCCAGUCACUCUCCAAACCUCAGUUUUCUCAUCUGAAAAAAUGUGCCUCCUGAGAAGACAAACUGAAGCUCGCCUUGCCACUUUGUAUGCACCAGACCUCCACACCCGAGGCUUAUCACAAGCAAUUAUCUUACCCAAAUAAAAAAUGAAAAUGGAAAAGUUAAAUAAAUAACAGGACAUCUUGAUGGAAUCGC